AAUAGAUACCCGGGUAGUCCAUGCCGUAAACGAUGUCUACUAGCCGUUGGGGCCCUUGAGGCUUUAGUGGCGCAGCUAACGCGAUAAGUAGACCGCCUGGGGAGUACGGUCGCAAGACUAAAACUCAAAUGAAUUGACGGGGGCCCGCACAAGCGGUGGAGCAUGUGGUUUAAUUCGAUGCAACGCGAAGAACCUUACCUGGCCUUGACAUACAGUGAACUUUCCAGAGAUGGAUUGGUGCCUUCGGGAACUCUGAUACAGGUGCUGCAUGGCUGUCGUCAGCUCGUGUCGUGAGAUGUUGGGUUAAGUCCCGCAACGAGCGCAACCCUUUUCCUUAUUUGCCAGCACUUCGGGUGGGAACUUUAAGGAUACUGCCAGUGACAAACUGGAGGAAGGCGGGGACGACGUCAAGUCAUCAUGGCCCUUACGGCCAGGGCUACACACGUGCUACGAAUGGUCGGUACAAAGGGUUGCUACUGCGCGAGCAGAUGCUAAUCUCAAAAAGCCGAUCGUAGUCCGGAUCGCAGU
rnacentral:rRNA from 1 species